GCCGGGCAUGGUGGUGCAUGCCUGUAAUCCCAGCUACUCGGAGGCUGAGGCAGGAGAAUCGCUUGAGCCUGGGAGGCAGAGUUUGCAGUGAGCCGAGAUUGUGUCACUGCACUCCAGCUUGGGCAAUAAGAGCGAAACUCUGUCUCAG
ensembl:misc_RNA Metazoa_SRP Metazoan signal recognition particle RNA